UCCAUAGCCAAUUUCUACAUCAAGAUCAUCAUCUAUUCGGAAUUUUUGGUGAAAGAUUUGAGUAGAGGAUCAAAAUCCUUCUUGCAAAAAGUACUUCAACCAAGAGGUUGUUGUUAUGCUACAGCUUCAGAAGACACUUGAACAAGGGCAUGGGCAGUUACUUCAACUUCUGUUGUCCGGCUACUUUCAAUUAGCUCUUGCAAUUGGCAGGUACUACAACUUCUGCAACAGAAACUUUGUGUUCUUCAGCAACAGCUUUCCCUCUCUCAUUUAUUUUCGCAACAGCCUAUUGAUAAACCUCUUGAUGAACCUGUCCACUAGCAUGUUGAUCAUCAUUGUCAUCACUAUAAUGAGAAGUGAUGUUUGCAACUUCAUUCCAACGAGCACCAUCCAGUGGAGUUGGAGUUAAUUCGAGGCUGAAACUUGGCAUAUCAGACACCUCCUUGCCAUACUCAUGCCUUCUUUGUAUAGAAAAGUGUAACACCCCCAUUUUUCAAGACCAAUUUUUUUUAA